CAGUCGCCGCGGGAACACGUAGGGCGCAAGCGUUAUCCGGAAUUAUUGGGCGUAAAGAGCUCGUAGGCGGUUUGUCGCGUCUGCCGUGAAAGUCCGGGGCUCAACCCCGGAUCUGCGGUGGGUACGGGCAGACUAGAGUGAUGUAGGGGAGACUGGAAUUCCUGGUGUAGCGGUGAAAUGCGCAGAUAUCAGGAGGAACACCGAUGGCGAAGGCAGGUCUCUGGGCAUUAACUGACGCUGAGGAGCGAAAGCAUGGGGAGCGAACAGGAUUAGAUACCCGCGUAGUCCCUGUCUCUUAUAC
rnacentral:rRNA from 1 species